GCCGGAUAAUGCGUCCUCGAGGCGUUCGUGUAGAGUUGGUGCACCGUGUAGGUAGAGACAAGCUUUGACGGAAACCACGCCAAAACAGCCUGCAGGGGACUCUCAAAUCUACCCACGAACUAUGCCUGCCGUUGUUAAAUGUCCUUUUCUUCGGAAGUGGUAGUGGGGAAAUAUGGGUGGAUGAGCUCCAGUGUACUGGCAGUGAAGCAUCAUUGACUCAUGUCCAAGGUCGACAUAAAAUAAUAACCGCAAUCAAUGACAAGGAUGUAGGGAUCUUUUGCGCUCAACAUUUUCGUUCUAUAACAAGUGUAUCAGUUGAGUGUGGACACAGUCCGGGGUGUUGGCUGGAACUAGUCAGACUGUCACCUGUAACGUGAAGACGCUUUACCGACCUCGCCCUUCGUAUACACGGAUAGUUGUGGCACUACUGCGGAACAUCCUCCACAUUCACCAAAAGUCCCCGGUCAACACUCGAUAAAUGGCUAAGGAACCUGAGUGUGGUGUCCGAUCGGGUGACAAUGAAUUGGGCAGGGCAUCUCGCUCUACCGGA